UUUAUUAUUAUAAUUAUUAUUAUUUUAAAAUGUGCCCAAAUAAAAUAAAUCUUAAACCUAACCGUCAGUAACUUCCGGUAUCCACGACCCAACCGCGUUUGCAGUUCUGCCCAUGGUCCCGCCCCAUAUCUGGCAGCCAAUGGGGGCGGCCCAAUUUCAAAUUAGGGCUCACCGCGCGUGUCGUUCGCAAAAAAUAACUGCCGCUGCUGAAGAGAAGCAAAGAAGACCACCGAGCUGGAGAAGAGCUAAAAAACGCAAUGUAUAGAUUACAAUGGCAUUUGCCAAUUAUUAUAUCAAGGACAAGACUGUGGAAGAUGGGAAGAUUGCAUGAAUAAGUCCUGACGACCGGCAAUUAUGUCCAACAACAGUAAAUCACUCAGUGCCCUGACCUGGAAGAAGACGAAUGGAUGGAGAUAAAGGGGGAGAUUAACGACAGGAAAAAGUCAAACGGCCCAGCCUUUUUUCCUGGAAAGGUUUUGAUGACUGCUGAGCUUCCAGGAGUAGUAGUGACAAGGCCCCAACACCUCCAUCAACCUGGUCAACACACCACCUGGAGAUUGCCUACCUUCUGCACAGAGCUCUCAAGUGUUAUCUGAGCCUGAUGAUAUGCUCAUGCCCAGGCGAAAUUCACUGACCACCAUGCAAGAUGUGAGACGAAUAAUAAGACAGAAGUACAACAACACCAAGCAAGUAAACGAAAAGAAGUCCUAAAUGUCAGCAUAUUAUGUAAAAAUAAAUA